rfam:Vitis vinifera, whole genome shotgun sequence of line PN40024, unordered unoriented unplaced sequences
GUGGACAAUAUCCACACGGUUUGAUGUGUCUCGUUACAGAUAAGAUUAUCAUGACUCAUGUGCAAGGAUGAUACACAUAAAUCGAGAAAUGGUACAACUUUUU